GCAUAAAGCACUGCCACAUCGGAAGUGUAACGUCAGCCAUGUAUGGUCUGGAACCAGUGGCCAAUUCUUACCGGUACACUGGACCAGCCCACUUUCACCUAUGGUAAGUAUGAGGUUUAUUCUAAAUAUCAGUGUUGUUAGUUUGCAGAAACAUAUUUGCAGCACAAAGACAUCAGUACGGUGGAAACAACACAGAAGGCUAAUACUGCGUUUAGAAGACAUAUAGCAAUUCUUCUAAUGAAGGAGUCAGAAAGCGUGGAGGACUACUGCAUAUACUGCAACCUUAUCGACUGUGAAAAAGAAAGUGAGGAUUGCACGAUGGUCCAGUGUGAUUCUUGCAAGAGGUGGGCACAUAUACCAUGCAUUACAGAAGGAAACAAUCAAGAAAACCUGACAUAUGAGAAGAAAGAGUACAACUGCAAGACAUGUGCAUAGUUCACUUCAUUAACAAAAAGAAAAAAGGCAAUAAAGAAAACCCAUUGUUUAACUGCCUCUUGUUCAAAACAUAAUGCAACCCAAAGAAAUAUAUUUCUAUGUAUAC